CAGAAAACAAAUAUAAUUAUGACUUAAUUAUUUUAUAGUUGAUGCUUCUGAUCAAGGUGCUUAUUUAUAUUUUCAGUUAUUUCCUAACUAAAUACCUGGUAAAGCUAUCACUGUCUCUCUGUGCCUGAGACAGAUGUAAAACCAUAUAAGCACCUUUGGUUUCAAUAGUGCCUCUUCCUCAUCACACAGAAUGAUAUGUAUGACAGAAAUGUGAGGAGAGAUGUUGAGCUGUGAGUUAAAGCGAACACUCUGAUGAACUUUAACAGGACGAAGUGUCUGAACACGCUGAGGACAGAGUUUGUUUCAGGUGUUUCCACCUCCAUCAUCAACACUAUGAGAUAAAGAAAUCAGAGGCAGAGUGAGAGCUGUUGUCACGGUUACUGAUCUGUCUUAUGUUUUCCUCCCUCAGUGUUAGAUGGCGCCCUCUUCUGGCUCUUCACGGUUAAUUGAUUCACCAUCUACUGAUGGUGUGGUGAAUUAAACACAGUAUCAUGAGGCCUGUCUGCUGCAGUAGACAGAGACUCUGGUGCAGUGUCAGUGUCCAGAUUCUGUACCUUGAUUCUGGACUGAGACCCUGGAACCCGCAGGAUCCCCUCUGAGUCGACUCCUUUCUUCUCCAAAAACGACAACAACUGCAGAGAGAGAGAGAGAAGGAGAAGAGAGAGAGACAUCAGCAGAGAGUCAGGCGUGGGAAGAGAGGAGUCGUGGUGUUGGGCUUCACUUUCUGAUCGUUCUCCAGCAGCGUGGCCAGCUGCACCCCGAACAGCGAGCUCUCUGCAAAACACCAGAGUCAUUCAGCUGUUCACCAACACAACACAUC